GACGAACGCUGGCGGCGUGCCUAAUACAUGCAAGUCGAGCGAAGUUUUUCUGGUGCUUGCACUAGAAAAACUUAGCGGCGAACGGGUGAGUAACACGUAAAGAACCUGCCUCAUAGACUGGGACAACUAUUGGAAACGAUAGCUAAUACCGGAUAACAGUAUUUCUCGCAUGGGAGAUAUUUAAAAGUUGGUUAUGCUAACACUAUGAGAUGGCUUUGCGGUGCAUUAGCUAGUUGGUGGGGUAAAGGCCCACCAAGGCGACGAUGCAUAGCCGACCUGAGAGGGUGAUCGGCCACACUGGGACUGAGACACGGCCCAGACUCCUACGGGAGGCAGCAGUAGGGAAUCUUCCGCAAUGGGCGAAAGCCUGACGGAGCAACGCCGCGUGAGUGAAGAAGGAUUUCGGUUCGUAAAGCUCUGUUGUUAGGGAAGAAUGGAUAUGUAGUAACUAUACAUGUAAGAGACGGUACCUAACCAGAAAGCCACGGCUAACUACGUGC
rnacentral:rRNA from 1 species